GGAUGGGCUGCAGCUCAGCAAUAGAGCAUUUGCUUAGCAUGUAGAUGGCCCUAGGUUCAAGCCUUGGCAUUUCCA